rnacentral:misc_RNA from 1 species
CAGAGUUGCAAAACUCCCAAACCCUUUGUGAACGUACUGAAAAGUUGCUUCGGCGGGAGGCUCCUCAGGGAGCGGACCGCCGGAGGAAUCCAAACCUUGUUUUUUUGGCAUCUCUGAGUAGCUUAUAAUAAGUU